ensembl:miRNA MIR96 microRNA mir-96
CUGGGCCGAUUUUGGCACUAGCACAUUUUUGCUUGUGUCUCUCCGCUCUGAGCAAUUAUGUGCAGUGCCAAUAUGGGAAAGCAGG